rnacentral:rRNA from 1 species
GAGUUUGAUCUUGGCUCAGAUUGAACGCUGGCGGCAGGCCUAACACAUGCAAGUCGAACGAUGCCUUCGGGCAUAGUGGCGCACGGGUGAGUAACACGUAGCUGACCUGCCCUCAAGACCGGGAUAACGGUUCGAAAGGACUGCUAAUACCGGAUAAGCUCACGAGCUUUAGAGGCUUGAGAGAAAACAUUCAGGUGCUUGAGGAGGGGGCUGCGGCCCAUCAGCUAGUUGGUGCGGUAACGGCGUACCAAGGCAACGACGGGUAGGGGGCCUGAGAGGGUGGUCCCCCACACUGGGACUGAGACACGGCCCAGACUCCUACGGGAGGCAGCAGUUAGGAAUCUUGCGCAAUGGACGAAAGUCUGACGCAGCGACGCCGCGUGCGGGAUGAAGGCCCUCGGGUUGUAAACCGCUUUCAGCAGGGACGAAAUUGACGGUACCUGCAGAAGAAGCCCCGGCCAACUACGUGCCAG